UGACUGUGUUUGUUUUAAUUAUGUGACACAAAUAUAAUUUGCAGAUUACAUCGAGAAUGACAUAAAUAACAUAUUGGUUAUGAUUGUUUUGCCAGUAAGGAACUUUGACAGAAGAUCAAAUUAGCUAGUAGUAGUAAUACACGUCUUUUGUUUGGCAAAAUAGGCAAUUGUUAUUUUGUGAAAUAGAUCAUUUUUGGUUCUGUUUUCAAAUGCCAUUAUGCAGUAUGUACAUUAGCUGAAUUGUAUUCGUUUCGGUAUAAUUUUUCUAUAAAAUUAGGAUUACAGAAAAAGAGAAGAAAAAGAAUUCAUAGAUGAGUGUUGCUGCGAAGAAAAGCUUUUUCGAGCAUCUGAUAGCAUCAUGCAAGUCAGAGGAUAGGGAUAAUGUCCCUAGAAACGGAAAC